AGAGUUUGAUCCUGGCUCAGGACGAACGCUGGCGGCGUGCCUAAUACAUGCAAGUAGAACGCUGAAGGAAGGAGCUUGCUCUUUCCGGAAGAGUUGCGAACGGGUGAGUAACGCGUAGGUAACCUACCUUUUAGCGGGGGAUAACUAUUGGAAACGAUAGCUAAUACCGCAUAAGACAUUUUACUGCAUGGUAAGAUGUUAAAAGAUGCAAAUGCAUCACUAAGAGAUGGACCUGCGUUGUAUUAGCUAGUAGGUGAGGUAACGGCUCACCUAGGCAACGAUACAUAGCCGACCUGAGAGGGUGAUCGGCCACACUGGGACUGAGACACGGCCCAGACUCCUACGGGAGGCAGCAGUAGGGAAUCUUCGGCAAUGGACGAAAGUCUGACCGAGCAACGCCGCGUGAGUGAAGAAGGUUUUCGGAUCGUAAAGCUCUGUUGUAAGAGAAGAACGAGUGUGAGAGUGGAAAGUUCACACUGUGACGGUAUCUUACCAGAAAGGGACGGCUAACUACGUGCCAGCAGCCGCGGUAAUACGUAGGUCCCGAGCGUUGUCCGGAUUUAUUGGGCGUAAAGCGAGCGCAGGUGGUUUAUUAAGUCUGGUGUAAAAGGCAGUGGCUCAACCAUUGUAUGCAUUGGAAACUGGUAGACUUGAGUGCAGGAGAGGAGAGUGGAAUUCCAUGUGUAGCGGUGAAAUGCGUAGAUAUAUGGAGGAACACCGGUGGCGAAAGCGGCUCUCUGGUCUGUAACUGACGCUGAGGCUCGAAAGCGUGGGGAGCAAACAGGAUUAGAUACCCUGGUAGUCCACGCCGUAAACGAUGAGUGCUAAGUGUUGGUCUCAUAAGAGAUCAGUGCUGCAGCUAACGCAUUAAGCACUCCGCCUGGGGAGUACGACCGCAAGGUUGAAACUCAAAGGAAUUGACGGGGGCCCGCACAAGCGGUGGA
rnacentral:rRNA from 1 species